rnacentral:rRNA from 1 species
GACGAACGCUGGCGGCGUGCUUAACACAUGCAAGUCGAACGGAAAGGCCCUGCUUUUGUGGGGUGCUCGAGUGGCGAACGGGUGAGUAACACGUGAGUAACCUGCCCUUGACUUUGGGAUAACUUCAGGAAACUGGGGCUAAUAUCGGAUAUGAGCUCUUGCUGCAUGGUGGGGGUUGGAAAGUUUCGGCGGUGGGGGAUGGACUCGCGGCUUAUCAGCUUGUUGGUAGGGUAGUGGCUUACCAAGGCUUUGACGGGUAGCCGGCCUGAGAGGGUGACCGGCCACACGGGAACUGAGACACGGUCCAGACUCCUACGGGAGGCAGCGGUAGGGAAUCUUCCGCAAGGGCGGAAAGCCUGCCGGAGCAACCCGGGGGGAGGAAUGAAGGUUUUCGGAGGGAAAAACUCUGUUGUUAGGGAAGAACAAAGGGGUAAGGAAAUAUGCACGAAGUGACGGUACCUAAUCAGAAAGCCACGGCUAACUACGUG